GGUAAAAACAUGAACAAAUCUCUCUCAAAAAAAGAACAUGAACAAAUCAAUCAUACCACCCCGACCCACUCUGUCGCACCGAUGCGGCUGCUUAAAUCGCCGGAGUCAGAUCGAUGGAGGACGGUGGUUUAGAGUUCCUGCUAGAUGCCAUCCAGGGCCGAAUGUUGGGGGUGUGGCCCGUAGCCACCGAACUGCGGCGACCGACGGGCGUCAAGAUUCAUCCCCCACUGCUUCAGAACAUUAACUGACCGGGUCAACCCAGAGGCCCCUUGGUGGACGAAGAGGUUGCGUCUAGGAAGUGCACCCUGGACAGGACACCGUGUCCUCGGAUGGGUGCAUCGGAGCAGACAAUAAGAAAAUAUGCCGAAGAACCUACUAGAAGUGUUACCCUCACCUUCGACUCACUUGGUAAGGCAUACGACUUCUACAAUCUCUAUUCGUGGGAGACUGGAUUUGGGAUCCGGUAUGGCAAAAUCAGACUAAAUGCUGAAAGGACGAAGUGCUAGUGAACAGUGAAAGUCGAGUGCUCGCGAACAGUGAAAGCUGAGUGAAGAAUUUGAUGUGGACAAAUGGAAUCAGUAGGAUGCAAUACCAGUUCUUGGGUGAUGUGGUAACAUUUGACACAACAUACAGAACCAACUUAUAUGACAUGCCAUUUGGUUUGUUUUUCGGAGUAAACAAUCACUUCCAAAGCAUUAUCCAUGCUGGUGUGGUGAUGAGAGAUGAGUAGGUUGAGAGUUUUGAAUGGGUUUUUGCUGAGUUCCUGAGCAUGACGGGAGGGCCUGCACCCAGGACAAUACUACAGAACAGGGCCAUGGAGGUCGCAAUCAGCAAGGUGUCUCCAGACACUGUGCGCCGGUGGUGCAAAUGGCAUGUCCUAAAGAAGACGAAGGAAAGCUUGGGACCACUGUAGACGAAGAAGAGUUACUUUCAAGCGGAGUUCCGUAAAGUUGUGAAUCACAUGCUGAAAAAAGGAUGAGUUCGCGACAACAUGGGCAUGUUGCUUGAUAAGUACAACGGAGUGAGAGCGCGAACCACGUGUUGAAGUCUUACAUGCCGACUGCAAGCCCGAUGCACAUAUUUGUAAGGCAGUACAUGCGAUGCAACUCCAGUUUGAUCUUGAGCGUGAAGAAAUCUAUGAGAAGCGGACAAUGGUAGUGAGUAUUAAUCAUUCCAAUUUUAUAAAACAGUAAUUCCCAGACCACCUACAUGAUGUUAAAAUAACUGACGAAGUCUGUCUUCUACCAGGGUGGACUAGUUAGGAGGACAAACUUGGCGAUAGAGCGACAUGCAAGCAAAAUAUAUACAACUUGUAAAUCUUCUUCGCCUAUUGCCCAGUGUGCUGGUCUGCUUGUUGAUAGUCAGCUUUGUGAUUUAUCUAACUGAAGAUCCAAAGCUUCUAUAUCAUUUCAACUAUGCAGUCAAAAUGAUAAUUAGGUGGUACAAGAAAACAGGGCAAUCGGCAGCAUGUUACAUGUUCACACCGAGGCAAAUUUAUAUAAUAAAUAUUUGCAAAAAAUGUCAUGCAUACUGUCUAAAAUUAUGCAUUAUUUUUUGUCAGCUUUUGAAAUAGUUGCCAAUUGAUCUGCCUCAUGUCUCUGUUUUCCUUUGAACUGAAGAAUUGGCUUGGUUUUCAAAUUUGACGAGUGGCUACUUCAGGUUGAUAUGGAUGGCAAGUUGUUGUCAGUUUUCGAAUUUGGGCUGAAUAGCUACCGUGCAUGUUGGCAUUAAAAUUACCAAGUUGUCUUGGUCAGCAUUUGAAAUAGUUGCGAAUUGAUCUGCCUUGUCUCUUUUUGGCUUUGAACUGAAGAAUUGGCUUUGGUUUUUAUUAAUCGAAGUCUUGUUAUUUCUUAAAGAUUAUCUGGUGGUUUUCUUGAUACUAAAUAUUUAGCCGGUAUAAUUUGGUUUCCUAUAUCUAACUUUUGGUGUAGCUGACGAUGAAAUCAGAGCACAUGAACCUAUUUGUGGCUAGUAAGUUGAACCCGAUUUUCAAAAGAGUCUGGAGCACUGCUCGUUAGAUCACGACAUCCCAGCGUAACGUGUUCUUCUAACGGUGCUGACUGACCAACUGACUGAAUGCGUGCAUGGCCAAUGCAAUAGACCACCAAACAUUCAUUUUGUUCUGGGCUUCGACUACAGCUUGUGCACGAGUUUGCCGAACAAGAGGUUAAUUUUAAGCUAUCCAUUUAUCUUCCCUGGUUCCUUGGUUGGUUGACUGAAGAAGAAGAAGAUGAUGAUCUGAAUAAAUAACUCUUGUACCUUAUAGUUCUCAGUUUUCUAUCUACAGAAUCUGCUCUGAAUAUCUAUAGUUUUUUUUGAGUUGGGAAUCAGAUUUUACUUUUGCUGAAUCAGUGGUGUACCAUGGUUGAAUCAGCUCUGUAGCUUUACAGAAUAACUUGCAUCUGCUCUGAAUCUUUUAUAUCAUAUUUAUUGUUAUUUUUAUGUUCCUUUUUUCAUUCUGUCAUUAAUGACGCUUCAUUUCUCCUCUACCAGAUCCGGGUGGAGGCAAGAAGUGUAUGACAAAGGCUCUAGUGGCGGGAAAAAAGUGCUGCGUUCUCCAUCUCACACUGUAUAUUUGGUGUCGCGCUGGGUGUUGUUGUUCCUUUUGCUACCAAGUUCAGGGCCUGUUUGGUUUCAAUAAGUCACCUGACUUAUAAGUCAGGUGACUUAAAACCAGUGACUUAUAAGUCACUCUUGUUUGGUUGUCACCUGACUUAUAAGUCACCUGACCAUACCUUUUCACCAUGUUUUUUUAUGUAAAGGUGGUGGGACCCACGUAAAA